AACGAACGCUGGCGGCAGGCCUAACACAUGCAAGUCGAGCGCUCACCUUCGGGUGGGAGCGGCGCACGGGUGAGUAACACGUGGGAACCUACCUUGAAGUACGGAAUAACUGAGGGAAACUUCAGCUAAUAACGUAUACGCCCUACGGGGGAAAGAUUUAUCGCUUCAGGACGGGCCCGCGUUGGAUUAGCUAGUUGGUGAGGUAACGGCUCACCAAGGCAACGAUCCAUAGCUGAUUUGAGAGAAUGAUCAGCCACACUGGGACUGAGACACGGCCCAGACUCCUACGGGAGGCAGCAGUGGGGAAUAUUGGACAAUGGGCGCAAGCCUGAUCCAGCCAUGCCGCGUGAGUGAUGAAGGCCUUCGGGUUGUAAAGCUCUUUCAGAUGGGACGAUGAUGACGGUACCAUCAGAAGAAGCCCCGGCUAACUUCGUGCCAGCCGCCGCCGUAAUAC
rnacentral:rRNA from 1 species